rnacentral:rRNA from 1 species
UACGAGGGGGGCAAGCGUUGUUCGGAAUUAUUGGGCGUAAAGGGUGCGUAGGCGGUUUGGCAAGUCUUAUGUGAAAUCUACAGGCUCAACUUGUAGUCUGCAUGAGAAACUGCCGGGCUUGAGUAUGGGAGAGGUGAGUGGAAUUCCUGGUGUAGCGGUGAAAUGCGUAGAUAUCAGGAGGAACACCUGUGGCGAAAGCGGCUCACUGGACCAUAACUGACGCUGAUGCACGAAAGCUAGGGGAGCAAACAGG